GACGAACGCUGGCGGCGUGCCUAAUACAUGCAAGUAGAACGCUGAAGAGAGGAGCUUGCUCUUCUGGGAUGAGUUGCGGACGGGUGAGUAACUCGUAGGUAACCUGCCUUGUAGCGGGGGAUAACUAUUGGAAACGAUAGCUAAUACCGCAUAACAAUUGAUGACACAUUUCAUUUAUUUGAAAGGGGCAAUUUCUCCACUUCAAGAUCGACCUGCGUUGUAUUAGCUAGUAGGUGGGGUAAGAGGUCAACUAGGCGAGGCGACAUAACCGACCGGAGAGGGGAAGAGGCCUAGCUGGGAUGGAGACACGGCCCAGAAUCCUGCGGGAGGCAGCAGUAGGGAAUCUUCGGCGAAGGGGGCAAUGCUGAACGAGCGACGCCGCGUGAGAGAAGAAGGGUUUCGGGUCGUGAAGGUCUGUUGUAAGUCAGGAACGGGUGUGAGAGUUGAAAGUUCACACUGUGACGGUAGCGGAACAGAAAGGGACGGCUAACUACGUG
rnacentral:rRNA from 1 species